CAGCAGCCGCGGGAAUACGAAGGGGGCUAGCGUUGCUCGGAAUGACUGGGCGUAAAGGGCGCGUAGGCGGAUUGCGCAGUCAGAUGUGAAAUUCCUGGGCUUAACCUGGGGGCUGCAUUUGAGACGCGUAGUCUAGAGUGUGAAAGAGGGUCGUGGAAUUCCCAGUGUAGAGGUGAAAUUCGUAGAUAUUGGGAAGAACACCGGUGGCGAAGGCGGCGACCUGGUUCAUAACUGACGCUGAGGCGCGAAAGCGUGGGGAGCAAACAGGAUUAGAUACCCCUGUAGUCCCUGUCUCUUAUAA
rnacentral:rRNA from 1 species